AGAAAACCUGCCGCUGCCACCGACCGAGACAACAAGCGCCGCCGCCGCCACCGCCCCGCCUGCUCAUGUCGUCGCCGCUCAUGCGGAACGCUCGUCUCUUCGCCGCGCCGUCUUCGAGGAGACCCCACCCCCACCCCCCCCGGCGCGGCCUCCACCUCAGGUGGUCACUUCCGCGUGACCCUGUUCGGUUAAUCCCCUCACCAAAGGGAUUGAAGGGGAUUUUGACUUGCAAGGGAUUUAAUCCCUUUCAAUCCCUUCCAAACCUCUUCAAACCCUGCCUAACCGAACUAGCCGUGUAUUCUCCGCCCACAGGAUCCCCUCACCUCUCUGUUUGGUUCAUCCAUCAUGGUAGUUGUGAUGGUUCAGUGAUUGUCACUUAAGUUAUAAAGGUUCGACGUUUCCUGAUUGUGCAAGCAGAUGACAAAGGUAAUGGAUGGGAUUUAGGAUUCUUGAAUCAUCUGAAGCCAAACCUGCGAAGAGCUCACGUCUGGAGAAAAUAGUUGCUCCGGUAUUGAAAUCAUGUCGAUUUAGAUUCGUCUAUUGAAGUUUUAUUUCGAUUUACCUUUUUUUUAACUGUUAUGUCUGUUAUAUCUGAAAUCUGUUUUGUCUUUCCCCACUUGUAUAUCUUGCUAUCUUGGGAUCGGAAUGGAUCUUUUCUAAAUUGAGAAUAAGGUUCUAUUAGCUGGUGGUGCAGUUUGGUGCUUAAGAUCUUAGCAUUGCCAACUUAUUUUUUAGAACCUGGAAAAAAUUGCGCUCUGAAUGUCUUAGUUGGCCUGUGAAAUUAGAUGGUUCUUGUGAGCUAUGUAGUUUCUCUGGUCUGAUUAUUUUUAAUUACCAUUUGUGAAGUAAGUUUCAGUGUAAGAUUAGCUAUUUACAUAGCAAUGGAGUUAUUGUCCUUUUCAGUCCUUUCCCUGCUAUGAAAUUAGAUGGUUCUUGUGAGCCAUGUGGUUUCCUUGGUCUUAUAUAUACUUUUAGCUAACAUCUGUGAAAUAACUUUUUGUGUAAGAUUAGCUAUUCUGUAGUUCAAAAAGGCGCUCACCUAGGCGUGCUUAAGCGCUGGGUGUUGGCACAAAGCCUUGCUUUGGCCCCAGGCGCUCAAAAAAGCGGCCGGCGAGAAAUCAGUCUUUUCUGGUGAGGAAUCACUCUCCUCAGCGAGGAUUCAUCCUCCGUGACAAGGGUUCAACCACUCCGACAACAAGUCGACUGAUUCCGGCGAGGGAUCGAGAUUCUCUGGCUGGUUCUCAUCGGCGCAGCAAGGGAGAAAGGAGAGAAAGAGGCAGCAUCGGUGCAGCAAAGGGAGACAGGAAGAGGGAGAGAGGCGGCGCGAAGAGGAUACCUAGAUUUUCGUUCUGAUUGUGCACUUAUGGGAGCUUUUAGUAGACGAAUAGGAAGAUGGGCUGGUGGUUUAAUGGGCUAGGCUAGCCCAUCUAGCAUAUUUCUUCACAGUACAGUCAUUCCUUCAUGCUACAGUGCUAAACGCCUAAGCGCGCCUAGGCAGUGCAUAAGCGAGUUGGGUGCGAGUAGUAGGUCCCAAAACGCAUAAUUAACGCCCAACGCCUCUUUGAACUUUGGCUAUUCACAUGGCAACUGACUCGUGUCUUUUUCAAUCAUUUCCCUGCUGUAUUAAUUAAGGUUUUAUGAAUUUUACAUCUUUGACAGGAGGCUAACAGUAACAAUGAUUUGAAAGCACCAGUUUCUGCGCGCUAGCAUUGUGCUGUCUUCAUUGGAUAUUUCUGGUUUCUUCUCCCAACUAUUGCAUUUGUACUGUUUUCACUUAAAUCAUUUGCUUUAUUGUCUCUUACUUACUUUUGUUACAUAAGUGUAGGUCGCCCUUAUACUUUGAGCAUGGUUAGUUACCUACCAAGGUUCCAAUAAUUUAAAGAUAGUGGUAGUUUUGAUGAUGCAUGUGGUGCAAACAGUAUAAUAAUAUGAAACCUUGUCCAUAGAGUGCUAUGUUAUCUAGUUCAUCUCCGUCAUGUGUGGGCUCGACCAACAGUAAUGACAUUGCUGUGGUUAUUAGAUUGCCUGUAUUGGAUUAGGUUUUUUUUUUCAUUUUUCUGUUUGAUGGAUGAAGAAGUUAUCAUCAAGAGUUUUAGUUUGAAUCAGCGAAUUAGGACUUUAUUAUAUCAGUUGGUUUGUUUUCAUUGGAUGUUCCACAUAAGAGUUUAGACUCCUAAGGGACAAGUCAAGUCAGACCUAUAUAAAAGGCAAGUAGCACUGGUUAGUUGUGGUAAUGAUUUGUUGCUGUUCCUGGUAGGGUUCUCUCCUUGGCAAUCCUGAUGUACAACUAGGUUGUUGAGAACAUCAGGUUUAAUUAAUUACUGUCAUGUUGAACUAGGGCCAGUUUUCCCGCAGUUUUAGAAUAGGCAACAGAAAAAAAUGUGAACAUGUACUUUUAUGUCCACAUCAUGGGCCCAUAAGGCCCAGGCCCAUUCUCUGACCUAGAAGAGGGACCAAACAUUGUCUGGUCACUAGCGUCGCUUCAGACCAGAUCGAGCACGUCUCUCUCACGUUCCAGAGGGCAUGGACUUGGAGGCGACGGUGUAGGCCGCGGGGCUCCUCUAGGUCAGGAAGAAAGAUUGAGGUUGGUGCUGCUGGCACUAUUGGCUGCGCUUGGUGCUGGUUGUGAGUUAUCCUGGUGGUUGCUGUUAGCUGAGCUGAAGUGAGUGAUCUGGUGGUUGUGUUGCUGCUGUUGUGUGGGUGCUGAUUGCAGAGGAAGGAGGAGAGAAAACUAGGGGGAGGCAAUCAUGGGAGCUGAACUUACUGCUGCUAUAGAGAAACUUACACAGCUCAUGAAUGCGAAAGCUGCCUAGGGGUUACCUCCUGCAAGUGGCGCCAUUGUUGUGCCCCACGCGGACCACGGUUCAAGCUUGAGCUCAUGCCCAAUGAUGUCAAGUUGAAUAGCGUGGGCAGCUACUUGAGCUAGUCGUUCUUGGAACGGUUGAAGAACCGGCUGACAAGGAGAGCUCAGAAUGGAAGAAGUGGAGUGUCACCAACUCCCUGGCCUAGAUAUUAAACUCCAUGAUUCUAGGCUUUGCAGUGUCUGUUGAGGCAUUGCCAAAUGCUUCUGCUGUGUGGAGCAUGCCUGUCCAUGAGGUAUUCCCGUAAGGGAAACCUGAUGCUCAUGUCUCAAAUUGAAGACAAGAUCCAUGUUGUUCGUCAAGGUGAAGAACCAUGCUGGUGUAUGUGAAUAAGCUGCAACACCUUUGGGCAGAUCUGGAUCAGUGUAAUCCCCUUAAGCUUCCACAUGUAGAGUCCAUGGAGAUUAGUGUGAUCCCCUUGAGCUUCCACAUGCAGAGUCCAUGGAGAUUGCCAGGAAGUGGGUUCAGCACAGGUGUGUGAUGCAGUUUCUAAAAGGCCUAGAUCAAGCUUUUGAGAGUAGCUAGGCAUCUUGCGCUGCUAGAUGAGCCGACGCUUGUGUCCCUUGAUGAGGCCAUUGCUGCGAUGUCCCAAGAAGAGGUGCGCCUGCAGUCGAGAAGAGGAGAUGGCAAUGAAUAUGUUUAUAGAGUGGCUAACCAGCGAGGUUUUUGGGAGUUCUAUAAUUGUAAUCAAACAGGGCAUAUUAGCCGUUUCUGCAGAAGAGACAGAGGCCGAGGGUACAGUGUUGGCAGUAGCAGCCGAGGUGGUUGGAAUGGGAGUGGUGGUUCUUGGAAUGCUUCUCACUGGAAUGCUCCCAAGGCAAAUGUAGCUGCUUCAGCUGAAGGAAAGCAACAGGAGGACAGGAGACUGCUACUAGCUAUGCCAACUUUGUCGAUACAAAUGAAGGUAAUAUUGAACACACAUCAAUAGCAGCCCAUAAAAUAAACUCUGAAUGGUGCUUGACUCUGGAGCAUCACAACAUGUUGAAGGAGAAUUUAAUGAGUUUAAACCUUAUGUUCCACACUCACUCGCACAUCAGAAAAACAUCCACAUAGCAGAUGGGAUAGCCCAACCUAUCACAAGUGUUGGGAUGGUUAGCUGCACACCGGAUAUUGGAUUAUCCUCAGUGUUGCAUAUGCCAGCUUUCCCAUGAACUUAGUGUCCUUGAGUGCUUUGGUUGACCAAAUUGAUUGCCGAAUAAUUCUUGACAAGGUUGUGUUCUUGAUCCAGGAGAGAUCGGCGGGCAGGAGCCUUGGAACUAUAAGGAGAUGGGACAUGUGUCUUUCGAUAAAGUGACGAUGACAUGUACCUAGGAUAGGGUCUUAGGCCUGACCUAGACGCCCUACCUAAGGACACUGCCCUAGAGUCAAAGACAUUCAAAGUCCAGCAGAAGGCACCGACUGAAAUCACCUUGAAGUGUAAUCCACUCGACAGAAGAUUCCACUCGGAUACCCCAAUUCCACUCGACCACAGUAGCGUCACUUGACGGUAUGAAGAACCACUUGGAGUUCAGAAGAUCUAAAGCCACCCCAGGAUGGCAACGGUCAGGCGUUCACUCCGUAGUCAUAAAGAUCAUUAAUAGCUGGCGUUACCAGUAACGCCCCUGUCUUAACUCACAUUGAACCCUGUGUAACCGAGGGUUGGAGGGGCCUGGCGCACUCUAUAUAAGCCACCCCCCUCCUCUGGCAAGGGUUCGCACCCCCUGUAACUCACGCAUAAUCCAGUCAACAAGCCUCUGAGGCACCGAGACGUAGUUCUUUUACCUCCUCCGAGAGGGGCCUGAACUCGUAAACCUGCGUGUACAACUUCACCGUAGCUAGGGCCUUGCCUCCUCCUACGUACCCCCUACUCUUACUGUCAGACUCGUUCCCAGGACAGUUGGCGCCCACCAUGGGGCAGGCGUCUUAGCGACUUCCGGUGAGGUUGCAGUUUUUUCGAUCUCCAUCAACAUGGUUUCCGGCGGUGGUUUGUCCCUGGGCCACGAGGUCCGCAUCGGAACGCUCGUCUUCAUCGUUGAUGACUUCGCAUGGCUCCAAGAAGCCCCCCUCGACGUCGAGACUCUCCCCGUCCACGGGGCGACGCACUUUCGCGCGUGCGCUCGCGGCGUCCUACUGCGGCAGCCGUCCACUCAAUAUCGAUCGGCUCCCGCGGUGUCUUCGCUCCCCACUAUUCGCCGUCGCAAGCGAUCUGGUCGCUCGCGGCUCCAUCGAUGGGUGAAGCAUGUGGUGGCUCGCCAGUCGACCACCCCACAAGUCGCGGCAAUCGAACCCGACGAAUCUCUCUACGGAUCAUUCGAUCUGCUGGCUGGUCACUCGGACACUCUUUCCGAGUGCGAGAGCAACGACCCAGCGACAGAAGUUCUCAUGGUCGACUCCCCGCGCAGCCCGCCCGGAUUUCGUCGCGGCGGCGGCGGCGGUGACGACCCGUCGUGCGAUCAUGGUGAAUACUAUCCCCAACCCCUCACUACGGAGCAGUGGGAAGAGCUACAUCGCCGCAACGUUGAGGCGCUCCAGACCCCCAUCGUUGGAGACCUCUGAGGCUCGGGCCUUGGAGGCUGCGCGCUUGGCCACCUUGGCUGAGCGUACGCGUCUGGAGAAUCUCCAGCGGUCACUCGACGAACGCGCCCGUCAGCAGAUCCCCGGAUCCAGUCGACGGCCACGACAACUGUUUCCUCCUGAACCUCAGGUAUAUCGUACUCCGGUCCAAAAUCUUGCAGCGGCAGCACGUAUAGCAGAGUCUAUUCAACUGUCUCGUACAGAAGCUGGUAGAGGUUUGUUGCAGAUCCGAGCGCUGCUCCGAGCAGCAGGUGAACAGAACUCAGCUGUUUCUUAGUCGCGCAACAGAAUCCAUAGCAGAUCUGUGGUUGCAGACACAGUUCAGUCGGCGCAUAGCCUGAGAUUGCCCCUACGGCGUGAAGAUCGUGGUUACCGACAAGAUCAGUACCUUGGUCGGGGCCACGGGCAGUUUGAUCCUCAUGAUGACCGCCGUCGAGUGCCCACGCCUCCUCCGAGGGGCGGGUCAUACGCGCCCCGGCGGUAUGACGACAGGCGCUCGUAUGGCGACGAGCGGAGAGCACCAAUCGACCCCAGAGAACCUGGAUUUGAUGCAAGAUCAGUUCUGGUACAAGGUUUGGUUGAUAGAGGCAGAGCUCACAGGGAAGGUCAAGAUAGAGAUCGUCCGAUUGGUAACAGAGUGUUUGUUUCGGGGCCCGAGUGUUUCAGUAGAGCCAUCCAAGCUGCUGAGAUCCCCCCCAAUUUCAGAUUGGCUGCUGGUGUGAGCAAGUUCACCGGUGAGUCGAAGUCAGAUACUUGGUUAGAAGAUUACGGAGUGGCAGUGCAAAUUGGUGGAGGCAACGAUGAUGUCGCCAUGAAGCACCUGCCCCUGAUGCUUGAAGGUUUGGCCAGAGCUUGUUGAAUCAGUUGGCCCCUGGGAGUAUUUUCUGCUGGGAAGAUUUGGCCCGAGUGUUCAUAAAUACAUUCGAGGGCACCUGCAAGCGACCUGCUGGGCUGACUGAAUUGCAACAGUGCGUUCAGAAGUCGAAUGAAACUCUGAGGGAUUUCAUCCAGAGAUGGACUACUCUUCACCAUGUGGUGGAAAGCGUGUCUGAGCACCAAGCGGUUUGCGCCUUCAAAGUGGGCGUUCGGUACAGGGAACUUAUCCUGAAAUUUGGUCGGUCCGGAGACAUGUCUCUAGGCCGAAUGAUGGAAAUAGCCACUCGGUAUGCAAACAGUGAAGAAGAAGACCGACUCUGUAAUGGUAAAGGAAAACCAGUCGACUAGGACACUGGAGGUGGAAAUACCAGUCGGAAACAAAAACGUAAAGUUGAAGCUGCAGGUCCUGCCGAGGCGGCAGUCCUGAACCAAGGGAAAACCUAAAGGGCCGUGGGUGCCCAAAAAGGUGAAAGAUCAGUCCGGCAACGACAUCCUGGAUUUACCGUGUCACAUACACACAAAAAAGGACGAAGAGGGUAACCUGAUUCUGCCCAAACAUACCACUCGACAGUGUCGGCUCUUGAUUCAGCAGUUCCGAGAAGGUCAGCCCCCGGAGAAGGGUUCUGAUAAGGAGGAAGAGAAAGAAGAAGACGAUGGUUACCCCAAUGUCAAUGCUACUUUGGUGAUUUUUGCUGACGUUGAGAGCAAAAGUCGACUGAAGGUCAUUAACAGAGAAGUGAAUAUGGUUGCUCCGGCAACUACGACGUACUUGAAAUGGUUAAAGACUCCCAUUACUUUCGACCAGUCCGAUCACCCAGCGCACGUUUCUACCCCUGGGCGGCAAGCGUUGGUGGUCGACCCAGUCGUUGGGGGCACCCGACUGACUAAAGUUCUUAUGGAUGGUGGCAGUGGACUGAACAUUCUCUAUGCUAAGACUCUCCGGGGAAUGGGCAUUCCAAUGUCCAAGCUCAGCGAAAGCUCGGACAGAUAGCUCUUGAUGUGGUUUUCGGUGAUUCCAAGAAUUACCUCAAAGAGAAGUUGACAUUUGAAGUAGUAGAUUUUCACAGUGCCUAUCAUGCUAUUCUGGGCAGACCCGCAUAUGCUCGUUUCAUGGCCCGCCCAUGUUACGUGUAUCUUAAGUUGAAGAUGCCUGGACCCAGAGGUGUGAUCACAGUCACGGGGAAUCAACAGAGAGCAGAGGAAUGCCUCCAGAAAGGCUCCAAGAUUGCUGACGAGCAAAUGGCAGCGGUGGAGCUGGAAGAAUACAAGAAAAGCGCCGACCCGAGUGAGUUGUUACGAGCUAAGAAACUCGCUUCAGAGUCAGCAUUUCAGUCGGCCGGCGAAACAAAACCAGUCCAAAUUCACCCGGAAGAUCCCUCUGCUGCUCCGACUCACAUUUCAACGACACUCGACAGCAAAUAGGAAGAAGCGCUCAUCAAGUUCCUCCGUGAGAAUUGGGACAUCUUCGCAUGGAAGCCAUCUGACAUGCCAGGUGUACCCAGGGGACUAGCUGAGCAUCGUUUGCGCGUCGACCCAAAAGCAAGACCUGUCAAGGAACAUCUCCGUCGGUCCGCUGUGGAGAAAAGGAAGGCAAUUGGCGAGGAAGUGGCUCGGCUCCUGUCAGCUAAGUUCAUUCGCGAGAUAUAACACUCCGAGUGGCUCGCCAAUGUCGUCAUGGUCCCCAAGAAAGAUGAUUCACUCUGUAUGUGUAUUGACUUCAAGCAUAUCAAUCGGGCCUGCCCGAAAGAUCAUUUUCCUCUCCCUCACAUCGAUCAGAUUGUCGACUCGACUGCGGGGUGUGAGCGUUUGUCCUUUUUGGAUGCAUAUUCCGGGUACCAUAAGAUCCGACUGUAUGGGACCGAUGAAAUAAAAACGACCUUCAUCACCCCUUUCGGGUGUUUUUGCUAUAUCACCAUGCGUUUUGGCCUCAAGAAUGCUGGCGCCACGUUCAUGCGCAUGAUCCAGAAGUGCCUGCUCACUCAAAUAAGUCGAAACGUGGAAGCAUACAUGGACGAUAUCAUGGUCAAGUCGCGCAAGAGCUCCGACCUGUUGACUUACCUUGCCGAAACUUUUGCAAAUCUGAGAAGAUAUGACAUCAAGCUUAAUCCAUCCAAGUGCACAUUCGGAGUCCCGGGAGGGAAGUUACUCGGCUUUCUCGUUUCCGAACGAGGGA